CGCGGUAUCUUGACCGUGCAAAGGUAGCAUAAUCAUUUGCCUUUUUAUUGAAGGCUGGAAUGAAGGAAAAAAUAAGAAUAUAACUGUCUCUACCGUAAUAUAAAAAUUGCUGGUAGCGUGAAGAAGCGAAAGUAACAAAAAAAGACAAGAAGACCCUAUUAAGCUUUACUUUUAAAUUUUGUUUUUUAUCUUAAAAGAAUAAAAAACAAAAUUAUGUUAGUUUGGUUGGGGUGACUAAAAAGGAAAAAAUCCUUUUUUUAGAAAAGUACUUUAAGUUUAAGGAAAGAUCCAAGCUUUUUGAUUAUUAGAAUAAGUUACUAUAGGGAUAACAGCGUAAUUUUUUCAGAGAGUUCUUAUUGACGAAAAAGAUUGCGACCUCGAUGUUGACUUGUU
rnacentral:rRNA from 2 species